rnacentral:rRNA from 1 species
AACGAACGCUGGCGGCAUGCCUAAUACAUGCAAGUCGAACGAGAUCUUCGGAUCUAGUUGCGCACGGGUGCGUAACGCGUGGGAAUCUGCCCUUGGGUUCGGAAUACCUUCUGUAAACGGAAGCUAAUACCGGAUGAUGACGUAAGUCCAAAGAUUUAUCGCCCAAGGAUGAGCCCGCGUAGGUUUAGGUAGUUGGUGAGGUAAAGGCUCACCAAGCCGACGAUCCUUAGCUGGUCUGAGAGGAUGAUCAGCCACACUGGGACUGAGACACGGCCCAGACUCCUACGGGAGGCAGCAGUAGGGAAUAUUGGACAAUGGGGGAAAGCCUGAUCCAGCAAUGCCGGGUGAGUGAUGAAGGCCUUAGGGUUGUAAAGCUCUUUUACCCGGGAUGAUAAUGACAGUACCGGGAGAAUAAGCUCCGGCUAACUCCGUG